GAGUCUUUAUGGAAUCCUUAAGCAGUUUUUACAUUAUGAAAAAACUAAUAAACUUGGUAUAGAUAUGCUUGAAACAGUCUAUAAGUUUCUUGAUAAUGAACAAUGACUUUUCUUCUCACAACUCGGGAGAAAUUUAGUUUUGUAAGUCAUAGGACACAGUUUAUCUUUCCAUCUGUUGGUUGUCAUAGUUUCUUUGCCGCAGCAUACAUGUACACAGUGUGCAGUUGUAUAAUUGACAUACCAGUUACUUCUGUCAACUUAGACCCAAAGUUAUGCAUGUGUUAUAAAGUUACAGUGUCCAAGAACUUCUUAAAACCCUGUGUUAAGAAAUUGAUCAUAGUGAUUGCCUUUUAAGGAAGCAUAGUAGGGCACUGGGGAGGGGGAUGGAGAGAGAGGGAGCCUUACCUUUUCAUACUCCUACUGUUUGUCAUGUAUAAAUAUUACAUAAAUACGUAAGAAAAAGCUGUGCUUUUUAUUUUUAGAUUCUUGCCAUGCUUUUGUUAUUAAAUGCUAUAGUAACACAUCAGGUUAAUUUAUGUAUGAACUGGGGUGUACACAGUGACGUAUACACCAGUUGUGUGCCUUUGAAGAAUUUUCUCACCAAUGAGAAUAAGGCAUGUACACAGUGGAGUACUAGGUGGAGGAAAGUACCUCAAGGUGUUGGUGCUGUGGUUUAAGAAAGAGAAUUAGCUCUGGCUGGAGGCCUCAGGGAAGAUGUGGUGUAGGAGGAGGUGUUUAACCUGUGUUUUGAAGGAUUGGCAGGAUUUGGACAUGUGAUAAGUAGCUAAGACGAUUUCAGGCAGGAAAUUUCAUGGAGCAAAGGCACAAAGGCUGGAAAACAUGGGAAAUGGUACAUUUGCUGCUUCUAUGAUGAGGAUUAUUAAAUUGUGUUUCAAUUUCCUUUUUUUUAAAGAAAGUCUUUAAAAAUGUUCUGUAGGGCUUCCCUGGUGGCGCAGUGGUUGAGAGUCCGCCUGCUGAUGCAGGGGAUGUGGGUUCGUGCCCCGGUCCGGGAAGAUCCCACAUGCCGUGGAGUGGCUGGGCCCGUGAGCCAUGGCCGCUGGGCCUGCGCGUCCGGAGCCUGUGCUCCGCGACGGGAGAGGCCACAGCAGUGAGAGGCCUGCGUACCACAAAAAAAAAAAAACAAAAAAAAAAAACAAAAAAAAAAAACUCUGUAGCAGGUGCAGGCAGACAUAGUUCUUUCAACUCAGGUAAUUUAUGUUUGAAGCUGUUGCUGGUGGGAGUUCCAACCAGAUCGCAAGAGCAUUUUGGAGAGGAGUCCUUUGGGCUGAUUUCUCUAAGGAAGAACAGACUGAUUCGGCUGGAACAGUAGAGCACAGGAAAGUUGCAGGGAAGAAGCUGGCACCGAAUUCUGCCCGGCUGAACCUUCAACACAGGCUCUGUCAGCCAGCCAGCAGGUCUCAGUUUAGGCAUCAUUUCUUUCAUCUGACAGCCUUUCCUCAGCCAGGGCUGUCUCCAGCUUUGCUCUCCUGAGGCACCUGUCCUGCCUGGGACAUCCUGGGUCACGCUGCGCUGUAAGUGCCUGCUCAGCCCCUGCCACCUGGGAGCCCAGAGCUCCG